UACGUAGGUGACCAGCGUUGUCCGGAUUUACUGGGCGUAAAGAGCGCGCAGGCGGUCGUUCAAGUCGAGUGUGAAAGCCCCCGGCUCUACUGGGGAGGGUCACUCGAUACUGAUCGACUUGAAGGCAGGAGAGGGAAGCGGAAUUCCCGGUGUAGUGGUGAAAUGCGUAGAUAUCGGGAGGAACACCAGUGGCGAAGGCGGCUUCCUGGCCUGUUCUUGACGCUGAGGCGCGAAAGCUAGGGGAGCAAACGGG
rnacentral:rRNA from 1 species